rnacentral:lncRNA from 1 species
AUGAUACAUCCAUUUGAUCUGAAAUUUUUUGUGCAUAACCUACACUCAUCCAUGUUUAUUUUGAUGUAAAGAUAAUGAUUUUAGCUUAUGUGGUUUGAGAGCUAUGAAUUUUUGAACUAGGGUGUGACAACUUGUGUCACACCAAUGAUAUGCCAUUUCAUGAAUUUUAAUGACAUGCUUCCUGACAUCCAAUUGACCUAAAUUGUUGCAUAAAC